GACGAACGCUGGCGGCGUGCUUAACACAUGCAAGUCGAACGGAAAGGCUCCAGCUUGCUGGAGUACUCGAGUGGCGAACGGGUGGGUAACACGUGGGUAAUCUGCCCUGCACUCUGGGAUAAGCCUGGGAAACUGGGUCUAAUACUGGAUAUGACCUUUCUCCUUAUGGGGUUUGGUGGAAAGUUUUUCGGUGUAGGAUGAGCCCGCGGCCUAUCAGCUUGUUGGUGGGGUGAUGGCCUACCAAGGCGACGACGGGUAGCCGGCCUGAGAGGGUGAUCGGCCACAUUGGGACUGAGAUACGGCCCAGACUCCUACGGGAGGCAGCAGUGGGGAAUAUUGCACAAUGGGCGGAAGCCUGAUGCAGCGACGCCGCGUGAGGGAUGACGGCCUUCGGGUUGUAAACCUCUUUCAGCAGGGACGAAGCGUAAGUGACGGUACCUGCAGAAGAAGCACCGGCUAACUACGUG
rnacentral:rRNA from 1 species